rnacentral:lncRNA from 1 species
ACACCAUGUUGGUGGAAAUUGCAGUUACUUUAGUGCUAAUUGCUCUAUUCAUACACUUCCGACCAACACCAACAGCUAAAUCAAAAGCUCUUCGACACCUUCCCAAUCCACCAAGUCCCAAACCUCGUCUUCCUUUUGUUGGUCAUCUUCACCUUUUAGAUCACCCUCUUCUUCACCAAUCUCUCAUUCGUUUAGGAGAACGUUAUGGCCCUUUAUACUCUCUUUAUUUUGGUUCCAUGCCUACUAUUGUUGCCUCCACCCCUGACUUGUUUAAACUCUUUCUUCAAACACAUGAAGCUGUUUCCUUCAACACAAGGUUUCAAACCUCUGCCAUAAGACGUUUGACUUAUGACAACUCUGUUGCUAUGGUUCCUUUUGCACCUUACUGGAAAUUUAUUAGGAAGCUUAUCAUGAAUGAUCUUCUUAAUGCUACCACUGUCAACAAGUUGAGACCUUUGAGGAGCCAAGAAAUUCGUAAGGUUCUUAAUGUUAUGGCUAAAAGUGCUCAAACUCAAGAGCCACUUAAUGUGACAGAGGAACUUUUGAAAUGGACAAAUAGCACUAUUUCUAGGAUGAUGUUGGGUGAGGCUGAAGAAAUUAGAGAUAUUGCUCGUGAUGUUCUUAAGAUUUUUGGGGAGUAUAGUCUUACUGACUUCAUUUGGCCUUUGAAAAAGCUUAAGGUUGGGAAAUAUGAGAAGAAGAUUGAGGAAAUUUUUAACAGGUUUGACCCUGUCAUUGAAAAGGUCAUCAAGAAAAGACAAGAUGUUAGGAGAAGAAGAAAGGAGAGAAAUGGUGAACUUGAAGAGGGUGAGCAGAGUGUUGUUUUUCUUGAUACUUUGCUUGAUUUUGCUGAGGAUGAGACCAUGGAGAUCAAAAUUACCAAGGAACAAAUCAAGGGUCUUGUUGUGGUAACUUUCUUUUCUUCAAUUCUAAUUGCUUCGUUUCAUCUUUUAGAUUUUAAAUGAGAUUAGAUUGGUUGAGUCAAUUAUACUAAACUAAAUGAUUUGGUAUGCAGGAUUUCUUCUCUGCAGGAACAGAUUCAACCGCUGUGGCAACAGAUUGGUGUUUAUCAGAGCUGAUCAACAACCCAAGAGUGAUGAAGAAAGCUCGAGAGGAGGUUGACUCUGUUGUUGGAAAAGAUAGACUAGUCGACGAAUCAGAUAUUCAAAAUCUUCCAUACAUUAGAGCCGUCGUGAAAGAGACAUUCCGCAUGCACCCACCACUACCUGUUGUGAAAAGAAAAUGUACAGAAGAGUGUGAGAUUAAUGGGUAUGUAAUCCCAGAAGGAGCACUUGUACUUUUCAAUGUUUGGGCAGUUGGAAGAGAUCCAAAAUACUGGGAUAGACCAUUGGAAUUCCGUCCAGAGAGGUUCUUGGAAAAUGCAGGUGAAGGUGAUGCAGGUUCAAUUGAUCUUAGGGGUCAACAUUUUCAACUUCUACCAUUUGGGUCUGGAAGGAGAAUGUGUCCUGGAGUCAAUUUGGCUACUGCUGGAAUGGCUACACUCCUUUCAUCUGUACUUCAGUGCUUUGAAUUACAGGUAGCAGGACCAAAUGGACAAAUAUUGAAAGGUGCUGAUGCUAAGGUUAGCAUGGAUGAAAGACCUGGUCUCACUGUUCCAAGAGCACAUAAUCUCGUUUGUGUUCCACUUGCAAGACCUGGUGCUGCUGCUAAACUCCUUUCCUCCUAAAACAUACAUUCAAACACUUAAUUCGUCCAUGUCCGUUUAUAAACUAAAUAAUCAUUUUCAAUAAGGUAUCAUUGAGAGAGUCCACAAUGUGUGCUAGUGAUGGUACAUGGGCUUAAAGACGUAUUUAUGUAUAUCAUCUCAAUUUGUCUCUCUUGAUACUAUGAUUGUAAUUUUUAUAUUUUUGUUUUUUUGUUUAUGUCACGAAAGAAGUGUUGCUGUAACCGUUUACAAAAUCUAUAAUUUUGUGCCUCUUUGUUGAAUUUUUGUUAUUUAUAUUUUUGUAACGACCCAUUCACCUUCACCAAGAAAGCAAAAUAAUUUAAUCAACAAGGAAAUGUGGAUGCAUUCCACUAAAAGGACAUCCUCUGUAGCCUCAACACUCAUACGGGCAAAUUCAACGAUCUUUACUCUAAUAGUAAUCUCUAAGGUUUCUUUCUUUCUUAUAAUAAUUUUGAGAGGUUAGAUUUCAAUAUAGAAUUGAUACACCACAAAUAUUAUUGGCAUAACUCAAUACCUCCAAACUUUCAACUUUCAUCUUAAUUUUCAUGUUAUAUUUAUGUUGAUAUAAAUUCCUAACAAAAUUUGAUUUUUAGGUUUACCGUUAUGUUUUACAAUAAGAGCUCCAAAUUUGGCUGAAAAAACUAGAAGUUGUAAUAGUUUUUAGCUAAAUCAUAAGUUAUUCAUGAAUUUCACUUUGAUUUUUUAAAUUUUGUUUGUUUCAUUUCAAUCUAUUAAAUUACAAAUAAUCAGAUAUUUUAUUUUAUUUUAAUCUCUUAAAUAAUAAAUUAAAUAUUUUGAUCUUUUAAAUUACAUAUUUUGGUCCUUUUUAAUAGUGUUUAAUAUUGUAACUUAUUGGACUAAAGUGUUUAUUUUUUGAAACUUAAGAAGUUAAAAUCUUUAAUGUUUAUAACAUAUGAAACUAAAAUGUAAGGAAAAAUACUUGAGGGGCUAUAUUGUUUGACAUUUGUAACUUUCUGAGACUAAAAUAAAAAAAUAAAAAAAUUCAAGAGAGCAAAAGUAUAAUUUAGCUUAAUUUUUUAUGUUGUGAAGGAACGUUCUAAUGAGUUAAAGCUUAUAGCAAUAAACUUAGAUAAUUUGUUCUAUCGGUAGAAAGACCAAUAUGAGAUUCAAAUGCUUGAGGUUUGAAUUUGGCUAGUGCCUUUGGGAAAACUAUAUGUAAAUUCAUUUGUAAGUUCUUUGAACUCGAAAGUAUUCCCUAUUAUUAGGAUCGUCAAACAAUCUGUGCAACAAAAAUAUUGGCAUAGGGAUCCAAAUUAAGGGGACCUCAAUUUUUAUUUUUAUAAUAUACCUUAACAUUUGAAAAAUUACAUUUAUAUUCUUAAUUUUAUACAUUGAACAUUGUAAAAUUUCAUAUUUGCACCUUAUGUUUAGAAUAAAUAGUCAGUUUCCCACCACUGAGUCUCUGACAUCGACUGCAGUCUAUCAAACGCUAUCACCCACCAUCAGAUGUUAUUAUUUUGUGAAUUUACGAGCUCAAUUUUUAGAUUCGAAUAGAGUCUCUAAAAACAUUUAGAUGAUCGUGUCUACUAUAGACUGGAGCUCAUUCUUUCACCCUAAAAUUCUCAUAACAAAAAUAAAAAAUUGUAGGAUCACAUUUUAGGUUUGGCUAAAUAAUUAGGGGUGUUCACAUCAUAAUUGAUAAAAUAAAAUAAAAAAAUCAAAAACCGCAUAAUAUCGAAUAUUAUUAGAUGUGUUUAGAUCGCCUUUUGUGAAAAUUGCUCAAAUCGGAUCAAUUUUCAGAUUCCUUUUACAAAUUUAAACCAAACUGAAUCAAACCGCACAUAUAAAUUUUAAUACUUUUUUUUAUCAGUUUAAUAUGUUUUAUUACUAUUUCAUAUGUUUCAAAUUUAAUCGAUGAAUGGUCUUUCAUAAUAUUAAUUUUCAAUAUAUCAUAUCCUAUAUUUUUCAAACUUGCUACUUUAAGAUAAUUUUAUAAUAUUAGUAUUACAAUAACUUUAUGCAAUUAUUUUAAUAGUAUAAACAAUUGGAUUAUAUAAAAUAAAAGUCUUAAAUUUUAAAAAUGUUAAUCUGAUUAAAUCGAACUAAAUCAACAUGUUUUUCAUUAAUUUGAUUAGAAAAUUAUGAGAAAAAUAAUGAACUAAAACUAAAAUUUUAAUAUACAAUAAAAUAUUAUAUUUAAUUUAUCAAUUAAAAUUUUAAAAAUUUAGUACUCCAAAGAUUUUGUUCAAGUUUCGCUAAGAUACCAGAAUCAUGUCCAAAAAAGUUAAGAAAACUUAUUUUUUCACUUUUAAAUUUUUUUAAAAUUUCUAAAUUUAACCCAAAUUGAUUAUUACAUAAAUGUAUUUUAUAUUUAUCUGAUCAAUUUAAAUGUUUAUUUUUAUAUAUUUGAAAAUAUAAGUAUAAGAAGAAACACCCAAAAGUUAAAUAGAACAUAUGUUUGGAUGCAAUGUUCCUUCCUACCGCAGCCAAAUUGUCUUGUGUGUCUCAAAGGUUCGCAUGUAUUUGACUGGAAAAAUAUUUUAGAAUAAAUGCAGCGCCCUCUCUGAUGGACUAGAAAAGUAGUAGUAGUGGUAGGUGAUACUUGCACAUCAUUUAAAAAUAAAUGUCAUUUCAAUUAUUUCUUUAAUUUUAAUGUUUUUAUAAUUUACUAUUUAUUCAUAAUAUUAGAAACGGUAUCAAUAAUGGGCGACUUAUUUAAAAAAAAUAUAUAAAUUUUUAAAUAAUGUAAUUUUUCUUUUAUUAUAAUAAUCAAUGACACGUGAUUUGGUCAAAUGCAUAAAUAUUUUGCUAAUUCUUAUUAUAUUGAAAAAAUUGUGACAGCUAUUUUGAUUGAUGAGAAAAAUUAAAGUAUAUUUUAACCCUUAAUAAAAAACAGUGACAAUUUAAUCCUUUCACAGUUGACUUGUAAACUGUACAUGAGCGGCCAUAUAGAAAAUCUAGUCCAAAGAUGGGGCUUAUAAAAGGGAAUAAUAGCAAAGCUUUUCUCUCAGCCAAAACAUAAAUCCUAUUUGACUUAAACUCAUCAUAGUAACAACUGUUGUUUCUACUUAUUAGUUGACUCAACAAGUUAAUUACACUAUCAAAUAAGCAAUACCAUGUUGGUGGAACUUGCAAUCACUUUAUUGCUUAUUGCUCUGUUUUUACACUUGCGACCAACACCAACAGCUAAAUCAAAAGCUCUUCGACACCUUCCCAAUCCACCAAGUCCCAAACCUCGUCUUCCUUUUGUUGGUCACCUUUACCUUCUGGAUAACCCUCUUCUUCACUACUCUCUCAUUCGUCUGGGAGAACGUUACGGGCCUUUGUAUUCUCUCUACUUUGGUUCCAUGCCUACUGUUGUUGCCUCCACCCCUGAACUAUUCAAACUCUUCCUUCAAACACAUGAAGUUGUUUCCUUCAACACAAGGUUCCAAACCUCUGCCAUUAGACGACUCACUUAUGAUAACUCUGUUGCUAUGGUUCCCUUUGGACCUUACUGGAAGUUUAUUAGGAAACUUAUCAUGAAUGAUCUUCUUAAUGCUACCACCAUCAACAAGUUGAGACCCUUGAGGAGCCAAGAAAUUCAUGAAGUUAUUAAUGUUAUGGCUCAUAGUGCUAAAACUCAAGAGCCACUUAAUGUGACAGAGGAACUUUUGAAAUGGACAAAUAGCACUAUUUCUAGGAUGAUGUUGGGUGAGGCUGAAGAAAUUAGAGAUAUUGCUCGUGAUGUUCUUAAGAUUUUUGGAGAGUAUAGUCUUACUGACUUUAUUUGGCCUUUGAAGAAGCUUAAAGUUGGGAAAUAUGAAAAGAGAAUUGAUGAAAUUUUUAAUAAGUAUGAUCCUAUCAUUGAAAAGGUCAUCAAAAAACGACAAGAGAUUAGGAAAAAAAGAAAGGAGAGAAAUGGAGAACUUGAAGAGGGGGAGGAGAGUGUAGUUUUUCUGGAUACUUUGCUUCAAUAUGCUGAGGAUGAGACCAUGGAAAUCAAAAUAACCAAGGAACAAAUCAAGGGUCUUGUUGUGGUAAGUUUCUUUUCUUCAAUUCUAAUUGCUUUGUUUCAUAUUUUAGAUUUUAAAUGAGAUUAGAUUGGUUGAGUCAAUUAUACUAUAGCAAGUAGAAACUAUACCAAACUAAAUUAUUUCGUAUGCAGGACUUCUUCUCUGCAGGGACAGACUCGACUGCUGUGGCGACAGAUUGGUGUUUAUCAGAGCUGAUCAACAACCCAAGGGUGAUGAAGAAAGCUCGAGAGGAGGUUGACUCUGUUGUUGGAAAAGAUAGACUCAUUGAUGAAUCAGAUAUUCAAAAUCUUCCUUACAUUAGAGCCAUUGUGAAAGAGACAUUCCGCAUGCACCCACCACUACCUGUGGUCAAGAGAAAAUGUACGCAAGAAUGUGAGAUCAAUGGGUAUGUGAUCCCAGAGGGAGCAUUGAUACUUUUUAAUGUUUGGGCAGUAGGAAGAGAUCAGAAAUAUUGGGAAAGGCCAUUGGAAUUUCGUCCUGAGAGGUUCUUAGAAAAUGCAGGUUCAAUUGAUCUUAGGGGUCAGCAUUUCCAACUUCUACCAUUUGGGUCUGGAAGGAGAAUGUGCCCUGGAGUCAAUUUGGCUACUGCUGGAAUGGCCACACUUCUUGCAUCUGUUAUCCAGUGCUUUGAUCUCCAGGUACUCGGGCCACAUGGACAAAUACUGAAAGGGGAUGAUGCUAAGGUUAGCAUGGAAGAAAGACCAGGUCUCACUGUUCCAAGGGCACAUAAUCUCAUGUGCGUUCCACUUGAAAGACCCGGUGUCGCUGCUAAACUUCUUUCCUUCUAAAACAUACUGAACAACACAGAAUGUUGCAGUGGUGAAUCUUUGCCACAUGGGUUCAAAGACAUACAUAUAUUAUACAUAUUAUGUCAACUAGUCUCUCUUUGGUAGUAUAAUAGUAUAUGUAAUUUUCUUCCUUUCCUGUUGUUUUAAUCACAAAACAAGUGUUGUAACUGCAUACAAAAUUUAUAAAUUUUAUUGGCAUAUCCAUUAAUAUUAAUAUUAUUGCACUAUUUUCUUAUCUAUCCUAAUUUGUGGUAACUCUAAAUUAAGAUUAACAAAUUUGUGUUGACAACUAAGUUGCUAGUGUACUUGCUAAUGAAAAAGAGAAUGAACUUUUGUGUAUACCUUCAACUUCAUUUAAUAAUAUUAUAAUAGUAUCAUGAUAAGAUAAGCCGCAUAAAAAUUGAAACUUAUCUAAGAAUUUUUUACCUAAUAUCAAAAGAUAUUCUAUGACUGCAUAACUCACCUUCUAUUAAUCUUUUUGUCAAUCUUUUGAUAACUAAAUGCAAAGGUCUUCAUUAAGCACGUAAUGCACUAGACUAAAUUCUUAAAAGAUCUCUUUCAUGAAUACAACGCAAGUAACUAGUAAAACAUUUUGUUAACUACAUUUUUAUAGAAUGUUUAUCUAUAUUAAAUGUUUUCCAGAACACCUUCAGAAUAUUAACUAUCAAUGCCUUAACCCUAAGUAUUUUUUUCCUUUCUCAACAAAAUAGUAUCACCUAAAGUUAUAUUGAAGGUUUCAGUAUAUGAUAUGGUAAAUAAACUAUUCAUCUUAGAUGUUACUUUCUACAUCCAGAAAGGAGAUGAUCAAGUAUACCUACCUAUUCAGAACAAGAUAUACAUAGCUCUAUUAAGAAAACUUCAACAGAUUCCUCAUCUAACAAACCAUUCACUUCAUACAAGAUAGAUCUUACAUGGGCAACUUCAUCAUUUAGAUCUUUGUAAUUGAAGUCGAAAAUUAAUUUAGUAGAAAGAUUAAGAGGAUUCAUAGAGAUAGAGGAACGAGUAUGAUUUUUAUAAAUUGCAAGUAAUUAUACAUGAAACUAUUGCAUCAUAUUCGCUUGAAAUUAAUGGAAAAGCUGAAAAAAAGAAUAGGAAACUUUCUGAAUUAGUUUGUUAGAGCAUCUCCAACGGUAGUUAAAUGAGUUCGUCCGUCAGCGUGUAGUUACGUAAAAUUCGGUUUUUGCGAGUUCACUGUUGGAGUUGUGUCAACCUGUCAUCGUGGUGCUCUAAGUAAAGAACGGUACUUUGAUCAUUUAAUAAAAAUAAAAUUAUAAUCGUUACCUUUUUUUUUAUUAAUUUAUUAAUAAUAAUAAAUUUAUGACGGUUAGUGGACCUUAUUUAAUGAACCCAUGUUGAGUUUACAGUUUGAGUAAAAAAUAAAUGAGUUCCUUUAACAUGACGUGGCACAGUAGACCCUACUUAAUGAACCCAUGUUGAGGUCACCGUUGGAGAUGCUCUUAUGUUUUGAAUCGAAUUCCUAAAUCUAAAAACAAAACAUAUCUUUAUGAGAUUAAAAAAAAAAAUUGAACUUGUGUUAUUUUCGAACUUGGGAUCAUAGAGUCAAAUGAUGUUAACUUCUAUGAAAAAAUAUUAUCUUUCAAAUCGAGAAAGUGGGGGCAGCGAACCAAGUCACGUUUAUGUGAUGAGGAGCACUGAAAGCAACAAAUAAGGCAAAACAUAACCACGAAUAAGUAAGAAAGCCAAAAUUGAUAAAGAUUAAGGACCCGAUUAUACAACAUAUACCUUAGAAGAGGAUCUUGCAAAUCCUCAUAAACGAUGAGAUGGUUUCUCUAGAGUCUAACAGGACCUGACAUUUCGUAGGCUUGCCUCCUGAUUGCUAACCGAUAGGUUUUAAAUGGAUUUUGAAAAAGAAACUAAAAUCCAAUGGAACUUUUGAUAAAUACAAGGCUCUUCUUGUAGCAAAAAAUUUUAGACAAAGAGAAAAUAUUGAUUUGUUCAACACUUUUUCACCGGUUACUAGAAUUACAUCCAUUAGAGUACCCAUUUCACUAGUUGUUAUUCAUAACUUAUUGAUACACCAAAUGGAUAUCAAAACAAUUUUUUAAAUGUGAAUUGGAAAAAGAAAUCUAUAUCGAACAACCUAAAGGUUUUGUGAUUCAUGGACAAGAAAACAAGGUCUGUUAGAUAAAUCUAUGUAUGGUCUUAAACAAGCUCCUAAACAAUGAUAUGAAAAUUUUAAUAACUUGAUUAUAUUUAAUGAGUUUAAAGUGAAUGAAAGUGACAAAUAUAUUUAUUACAAAUUUGAAAAUCGCAUUUGCAUUAUCAUAUGUCUCUAUGUAGAAGACCAACUCAUAUCUGGUUCAAACAUUCAUGUUGUAAAUAUUAUGAAAUCAUUGUUGUGUAACAACUUUGAUAUGAAAUACCUCGGAGAAAUGAGUGUAAUCUUUGGAAUCAACAUUACUAGGUCAGAAAAGGAAAUUUCUUUGGAUCAAUCUCACUUUGUUGAAAAGAUCCUAAAGAAAUACAAAUAUUUUGAUUGUAAACCUGCUUGCACACCAUAUGAUUCGAGUAUGAAAUUUUUCAAAAACACAGAUGAAUGUGUUAAACAAACUGAAUAUGCGAGCAUCAUUGGCAGUCUCAGGUAUGCCAGUAACUCUAUUAUACCUGACAUUGCCUACGUUGUGGGACUAUUGUGCAGGUUUACUAGUAUACCUAAUAUGGAGUAUUGACACGCUAUCGAAAGAGUCAUAGAAUACCUUAAAAGGAUCAUGUGUCUUGGAUUACAAUAUCAAAGAUUUUUUGUCGUCCAAAACAAUCAGUAGCUAUAUUUUUAGUAUAGUCGAUGGUGCUAUAUCUUGGAAAUCGAAGAAAUAUUGGCUCGGUCCACUAUGAAUUCUAAAAUAAUAGCCCUAACUAUUGCCAGUGAAGAAGCAAAUUGGUUGAGAUGAUUGCUAGAUGAGAUUCUUUUAUGGAAAAAACAUGAUUGCUAGAUUAGAUCCCUUUAUGGAAAAAAAUCUAUGCAAGUUGUGUUGAUCCACUGAGGAGUGCACUAUGUUUGAAUAGCACUAGCAAACAACUUGGUUACCAAUAGUUUAGGAUUAAAUUGGUAUUAAAUUCUUACUAAUGACUACCUUGUAAAGAUUGUUCAAACUGACAGGGUAAUUAACAUGGUAUGCGUGAUGAUGAUGUUUAAGAAUUUGUAAAUUAAUAAUAUAUUGAGGCUUCACGGUUCAUUAUUGUAUUGUGUGGGUUAAGCACAUUUUGGCGAAUGUUAUAGUUGGUUUCAAAAUUUCAGAUGUAUGCACGGUAAGUGUUUGAUAGAAAUGCAAAAUGGUGAUAAAAGAGGGUUCUAAUACAUUGUGGGAAAUAGGAAUGAAUACACAGAAAAUGUGAAACCAUUGAAAGCGAACCUUCACAUUUGUUGGAUUCCAUUGCGAUCCAGGACGCGUGUUGUUAUCAUUAUGCACGGCUGGAGGGGGAAUCUACGAGGGUGGUAGAGGACGUCGCCGCCGAGGACGGAUAGAUCUUCUUGAUUUGGAUUUGUCGAGGCUGUGAAUUGUGAUAGUCGAAUUUGGAUGCUGUGUUUCUCUUAGAUGCGGUUUAUACACUAUGAUUAUUUUCAUAUAUAUCAUCGGUGCAAAAAG